UACCGGCGGCUCGAGUGGUAGCCGAUAUUAUUGAGUCUAAAGGGUCCGUAGCCGGCUUUGCAAGUCUUUUGGGAAAUCCAGCGGCUUAACCGUUGGUCGUCCGGGAGAUACUACAUUGCUUGGGACUGGGAGAGGUAAGAGGUACUCAGGGGGUAGGAGUGAAAUCCUGUAAUCCUUUGGGGACCACCGGUGGCGAAGGCGUCUUACCAGAACAGGUCCGACGGUGAGGGACGAAAGCUAGGGGCACGAACCGG
rnacentral:rRNA from 1 species